UUGUCCUGGUCUAUGCUUUUCAUGCUCCCUGUGUGCAAUUCUAAUAAAGUAGUCUAGUAGGACACAUAGCAAUCUCCCUCUCAUUUUAAGAGGACUAU
rnacentral:scRNA from 1 species